rnacentral:lncRNA from 1 species
CAGCAAAUUAUCUUAUUUCCCCAGAUCGAGAAUAUCAUAGCUCGUCUUACUCAUCAAGGGAGAAGGAUCGCCACAAACAUCAUUCGCAUGCAUAAGCUAAGUUGAAAGGUGCUAUUUUAUUUAUGUUACGCUGCUCGAUUGUAUGUUGCUUUCUUGCAAUUAAAUCAUUCUGGAUUAAAGGACAUCAGAAAGUACUUUUAGGGUUAAGGUACAGUUCCCUCAACAGUGAAAACAUUGUUGUCAAGUAGUCUUUCAAAACCGUUGAUAUUGAAUUUUGGUACUUCUAACGAGAAACUUUAUUUCUUUAUCUUCGUUUAAUGUUUUUGUUGAUAACCAUUAAGGAAAUGAUGAACUUUUGUGUUUCCAUUUUAUGUGAAGCUUUUCGGACGAUCGUGUUGUUGUGGAACUAUUUGACAUAUCCAGAGUAGUCUUACCGAUGCCUCCCAUCCCAACAAUUGGAAUGGUUUGGCAUGUUGAUUGUUGUUCAUUACAAAGUUGAUCCUUUGUCCAAGUCUUCAGCAAAUCCCACCACCGUACUAGUCUUGGCCACCGGGAGCUGGCAUUGACUGCGAAAAAUUCUAGGGGCGGGCACUUUGUUUUUCACUCCCACGUUUAAUCUUCUCCAUCUCUUCCAUGAUAGUAUCCAUUUUUUGUUAUUACAUUCUCCAAAGUCUGUAAUAUAUACAUCUACUACCUCUUCCGUCUCGGAAUCAGAUUUUGUUACUCUUUUCUGUAAGCCUAUUUUUAGGGAUUCAAUGACAUCUUCAGCAUGAUAAGCCACAUCUCUGAUUUUUAUUUCCAACGACUUCACUUCUUCACUGCUAUUUUGGGAUGAUUUUACCAGAAAAGGUUCGAUUUCAUUGACCUUUAUUUCCAGGAGAUCAAUUUGAGCCCAUUUAUCAUAAAGAAUAAUAUUUUCAUCUUCAAGGAAGAUCAGAGCCAGAGUUUGCCUAGGAGAAACUGCAGCAGCGUAACAUCAAGGGAGCAUUGUUUUAGUAAACAAUGGGUAAUUCUCCUUUACGAGGGCCCAUUUGGCCUGUUAGUGCCGGGGGGCCUCAAAGGGUAAUUUGUUCCCUUUGGUCAUCAUUACCCCACUCCUCGAUGCAAUUUUUGGAAUAGUCGUCUAGCAUUUAAUACUUAUUUUCAUUGGUCAGUACAUUGUGAGUUGGAUUCUCUUAACAAAUCCUGGAUAAUCCAAUAUACUAAGCAAAUUCAUUUUUAAAGAAUGCAAUUAUUGGAGAGAAG